rnacentral:telomerase_RNA from 1 species
UCGUUGGGUUGUCGAGGCGUUCUACACGUCUUCCCUAACCCUACCUUUAUUUUUUGCUCCCAUUGCAUUUACUGCUGUUUUUGAGACAGGCUUUCAGCAGUAAGGGGGUGAAUUUAAAUUCAAAAAGCCUGUCCUACUUCCCAAUGUGAAACUUAACGAGCAUUGUGAUAUAUCGACAUCGGACUUACCUCUUCAUUCCUCGUGUAGCACCAUAUUCGACUACGUGUUUGAUGUGGAAAGCAUAUGCGAAAGUGGACGAGGUUAUGUGCGACGCUGUCUUUACUAUGCUCAAGAUCAAAUGGUCUUUGGAUAAGCUCCUUUCGAAAGUCAUCGAUCGAGAGCCAAUCAAGA